GGCGCAGGACGGGCGAUUGCUGGUAAAAGGUGUCAAAACUUUUUGCGAGAGGAAAGUCCGGGCUCCAAAAAGCAAGGUACUGGCUAACGGCCAGGCACCGCGUUCCACUGGAACGCCGGUGACGGACAGUGCAACAGAAAAUAAACCGCCUUGGUGGCUUCGUGCCGCCCGGGCAAGGGUGAAACGGCGGGGUAAGAGCCCACCGCAACGUCAGUGAUGGCGUUGGCACGGCAAACCCUACCUGGAGCAAGGCCAAAUAGGGAGGCUGGUCAGCUUGACCAUAUGCCUCCGGGUAAGGCCGCUUGAGGCUUGUGGCAACGCAAGUCCUAGAGGAAUGAUCGCCUCCACCGCACCCGGGUGAGUUGGUGCCGUGGUACGGUGAAGACAGAACCCGGCUUACAGUCCUGCGCCUCCA
rnacentral:RNase_P_RNA from 2 species